UUCAAUGUUUAACCGCAGUAGAUGACUGGUCGUCUAUAAUAAAUUGAACUUUUAAUAAUACUAUUAUCUCUAAGAAUGAGAGGUCAUCGUGGAGUGGACUUUGUCAGUGAAGUAACAGAAUUUGCAAAUUUCUUGCGAAAUCAGUCAAGUGACAACAUCGAAACUAAUCAAGUUCUUACUGAAGAAAAUGAAGAAAUGCUGAGAAAAUUCGCUAAAUUCCUUGAAGCGGGUAAGACUAAAAGGAGAUGUAAUAAGUUCGGCCAUCAUUGGGAAAAGCAUGGUCAUGGACAUGGUAAAAUGAUGUCACAUAAUUUUGGUAGACAUGGUCACAGACGACCUAGGCACUGUGGACACCAUUGGUCAGGUCAUCAUGGGAGGCACAACCACCACUUCGGUAGGCAUUACUUCUGGACUGUGUACAAAGAAAUGCUUGAAGGAGAAGACGAAGCGACAGCGAGAAUUAAUAGUGGAAGGAAUCCAUCACCGCCUCCAACUGACGCUACAGCAAACCCUGAAGAAGGAAACAAGCGAUGUAAUAAACAAGGUGGAAUAUUGAGUCGUUGUGGGGCGAAAGAUUGGGUACUUAUAUCCCAGGGUUGUAAAGCAGGACAGGAGAAACAAGUCGGUAAUUCCACCCAAACUGAACAUACAGCUGAUGACGAAGAAACUGCAAACCUCUCGGAUAUGGUGGAGACCAUUAACAUAAAGCAGUCAUAAAACAAAGGAUAAUUUGUUGACUUUCGUAUAGAUGAUCGUAGUUCUCUUUAUCUUGAUAAAAUAAUGAUUUUUUGUCAACACUAGUGUCCUUUAGACGGAGGAAAAAGCGCAUUUGAUUGUUUUUGUGAUAAUUAGAUAAAAGCGAAGAAAAAGUAGAAAGUAAUAUUGAACGAAGGAAAGUGCUUUUAAAAGGACAUACAUUAUUCAAGAGAAUAUAGUUUGUACGGAAUGAUAGAUACCUAACUACUUCAUGAUUGGAAAAAUAUAUAAAAGAUAUAUCACCAUCACCAGCCCAUUAACGUCCCCACUGCUGGGGCACGGACCUUCCCUAUGGAUGGAUAGGGAGAUUGGGACUUAAACCACCACGCGGGCCCAGUGCGGAUUGGUAAUUAUUAACGACUGCUAAUGCAGCUGGGACCAACGGCUUAACGUGCCUUCCGAAGCACGGAGGAGCUCGAGAUGAAAACUUUUUCUUUGUUGUCACCCAUCGUUUGACCGGCCUUUCCGAAAGUUGCUUAACUUCAACAUUCGCAGACCGAGCGCGUUUACCGCUGCGCCACUGAGCUCCUCGCGCCACCGAGCUCUUCGGUAUAAAAGGUAUAUAUAUAAAGGUAAUUAACAUUGUGGGUACACACGAUAUUGAGAAAUAAACUGUUUGAAGCGUGA